UCGAGAAUCAUUCGCAAUGGGCGCAAGCCUGACGAUGCGACGCCGUGUGAGCGAUGAAGGCCUUCGGGUCGUAAAGCUCUUUCGCCUGGGAACAAGAGAGGUAGGCUAAUAACCUGCUAAUUUGAGGGUACCAGGUAAAGAAGCACCGGCUAACUCCGUGCCAGCAGCUGCGGUAAUACGGAGGGUGCAAGCAUUAAUCGGAUUUAUUGGGCGUAAAGGGCGCGUAGGCGGCGGGAUAAGUUAGGUGUGAAAUCCUGGAGCUCAACUCCAGAACAGCACUUAAAACUGUCCCUCUAGAGGGUAGGCGGAGAAAACGGAAUUCCACAAGUAGCGGUGAAAUGCGUAGAUAUGUGGAAGAACACCUGUGGCGAAAGCGGUUUUCUAGCUUAUUCCUGACGCUAAAGCGCGAAAGCAAGGGGAGCAAACAG
rnacentral:rRNA from 1 species